AUUGAACGCUGGCGGCAGGCUUAACACAUGCAAGUCGAGCGGGGUGAUGGUGCUUGCACUAUCACUUAGCGGCGGACGGGUGAGUAAUGCUUAGGAAUCUGCCUAUUAGUGGGGGACGACAUCUCGAAAGGGAUGCUAAUACUGCAUACGUCCUACGGGAGAAAGCAGGGGAUCACUUGUGACCUUGCGCUAAUAGAUGAGCCUAAGUCGGAGUAGCUAGUUGGUGGGGUAAAGGCCUACCAAGGCGACGAUCUGUAGCGGGUCUGAGAGGAUGAUCCGCCACACUGGGACUGAGACACAGCCCAGACUCCUACGGGAGGCAGCAGUGGGGAAUAUUGGACAAUGGGGGGAACCCUGAUCCAGCCAUGCCGCGUGUGUGAAGAAGGCCUUAUGGUUGUAAAGCACUUUAAGCGAGGAGGAGGCUCUUUUGGUUAAUACCCAAGAUGAGUGGACGUUACUCGCAGAAUAAGCACCGGCUAACUCUGUGCCAGCCGCCGCCGUAAAAC
rnacentral:rRNA from 1 species